GAGGAAUAUUGGUCAAUGGGUGCAAGCCUGAACCAGCCAUCCCGCGUGAAGGACGACUGCCCUAUGGGUUGUAAACUUCUUUUGUAUAGGGAUAAACCUACCCUCGUGAGGGUAGCUGAAGGUACUAUACGAAUAAGCACCGGCUAACUCCGUGCCAGCAGCCGCGGUAAUACGGAGGGUGCAAGCGUUAUCCGGAUUUAUUGGGUUUAAAGGGUCCGUAGGCGGACUUAUAAGUCAGUGGUGAAAGCCUGUCGCUUAACGAUAGAACUGCCAUUGAUACUGUAAGUCUUGAGUAUAUUUGAGGUCGCUGGAAUAAGUAGUGUAGCGGUGAAAUGCAUAGAUAUUACUUAGAACACCAAUUGCGAAGGCAGGUUACCAAGAUAUAACUGACGCUGAGGGACGAAAGCGUGGGGAGCGAACA
rnacentral:rRNA from 1 species